AAAUAGAAAGGCUGUUUAAGUCACAUGCAGGGAGGUGCGGCUAGGCUUUGUAAACAGAGAACUUAGCAGUGAGACUUCAGGGACAAGAUCUAUACAUCAAAACUGCUUCAUUAAAUUAAAGUUGUUUUGGUAACUAUAGUGUCCCUUUAAAUAAAUAAGAGAAACAAACAAUAAAGAUAACAGCUAGAAGCGGCAAGAGGAACAAUCAUCACCCACUUAGGGUUUGAAGCAAAACCUUUACAUAUAAUAGUGAAAGUGAAUAAAUGUGGGUCAUAUUCCAAUCAUAGCUCCCAAGCUGUAUGGAAAUAGAGGAUAGAAUUUUGGACCAAGGCAGUAAAUCUAUCCAUAACAUAGAUUUCUUUGACUAUAACCUCAAUCUCCGUCCUUAAAGAAAUCCUAUCUCCCAGCCAUUUAGCUGUUAAUCUUCAAGCUGCCUAUGUUAUCUUAUUAUAUAACCUUUGCGCAUGUGAUGUUAGUCCAUCCACUGGACG